ACAAACUUUUACUCUUUACCUUUCCUGUUGUUCUCUCUAAUGGGCACUACAGGUUUUUUUCUCUCACUCUCCACCCUUACAGAGUGUCUUCGUUUAUUCCUUCUCAAAUCAAACCUGUCAUUACUAUCCAAAUCUCUAGAUACUCUUCUUUUUUAGUAUGUGAGGUUCUUACCCACUUUUGCUUCGAUUCGAUCCCGAAAUUUCUUUUAUUUAUUGGGUUCUAGCUCUUGUAUUUCUUUUCUUUUUUUUUUUCUGAAUUUUAUCUACUCUUCUUGUUUUUGGAGGAAUUUUGUUGUUGUAAAUCAGUGUAAGAGUAAAAAUUGGUGAUCUUUGGUGUAAUAUAUUAGAUUUAAAGGAUCUUACCCCGUUUGAAGCUGUUGUUGUUUUUCUUGCUUAAAUGAGAUUAAUAUUUUAGCAAAAAAAAUUAGUUCAACCUGUUUAUUGUUGAGUUUAAUUAGGUAUCUGUGAAAGACCCAUUUGGGAAUUUGCUUGAAUUGAUGAAUCCAGGGUUUCAUAAAUCUGCUCUUCUCCGUAUAUUUCCAUUAUUUGAAUUCGUUUCAAUUUGUGGGUUUUCGAGGCUGAGUUCUUUGUAUUUGGUUCAAAAUAUUUCCUUCUUUUUUUUAAUCUAAAAUAGAUUAGGCUGGUGGGUUUCUCCUGUCAUGGAUUACGGUGGAGAUGUUGGGCAAAUUGGUGGUGGUGGAGACAAUUGGAUUCCUGGGUUAGGUGACCAAGCAAUUUGGGCUACUGAGGAUGAUUACGGAGCUUGGAUUGGAGAUGCAUCUGCUGACACUCCUUCGAACUCGAAUUAUGAUGGGAGACAGUCUCAAACUCGAUCUGGGAGCGAACCUCCGAACAAGAAAACCAGAGGAGAUUCCCAAGGAAGUGGGUUAAGCAGAGAUCGUGAUCGAUCCAAAGCGAUUGGGAAGAUGUUCUUCAAGACUAAACUCUGCUGCAAGUUUCGUGCAGGGACUUGCCCUUACAUCACUAACUGCAACUUUGCUCAUGGGAUUGAAGAACUUCGUAAGCCUCCUCCCAAUUGGCAGGAAAUUGUGGCAGCCCAGGAGGAGGAACGAGGUGUGUCUUCAGAACCCAGGGAAGAACACCAGAUUCCAACUAUUAUUUCUGGUGGGAGUGGAGAGAGUCAGAGAUCUUAUAAAGGGAGGCAUUGUAAGAAGUUCUACACUGAAGAGGGGUGUCCAUAUGGAGAUAAUUGCACUUUCCUCCAUGAUGAACAGUCUAAAGCUCGAGAGAGUGUGGCCAUCAGUUUGGGUCCAACUGUUGGUGGUGGAUAUGGUAACAAUGGGAAUGGACAGAAUCAGAAGCCUUCAAAUUGGAAAACUAGGAUCUGUAACAAGUGGGAGACGACUGGGUACUGCCCAUUUGGAAGCAAGUGCCACUUUGCUCAUGGCUUAAGCGAGUUGCACAGGUAUGGCGGAGGACUUGUGGAUAUGGAAGGUGGAGACUCUACAGCCCCUCCUGACUCAAAGCAAGUAAGAGUGUCUUCAAAAACCCAGACAGAUACAGUGGUAGCAUCUAUUACAUCAAUUCCUCAUACAGAUGUUUAUCACAUGGGAGUUCCAUCACAGAGGUCUUUGGCUUUAAGCCAAAGGCAAGGGCAGAGGCCUCUUCAGAAAUGGAAGGGCCCAGACAAGAUCAGCAGGAUAUAUGGUGAUUGGAUUGAUGAUUAUGAGUGGGAACCAGCUCGAUAGAUGGAAAAAAUGCUCGAGUAAUUGGCAAUUGCACAGAACAUUUUUUAGACUAAUUGAUGUGGACUGAAAAUUCUGGUUUGAG